ACUAGAUGCCUACAUACUUUCAAUUAUUAUUAAGAACUCAUGAAGCAAAUACAAGAUCUGUUAUAUUAGAAUAAUGAACUUUCUUCAGAAGACCAAAAUUUGAAUCAAAAAUCUGUAAUAGUACUUUCAAUUUAGAUUUCUUUUCAAUUAGCAAAAUUAUAUAGAAUAAUGGAUCUUUAAGAAACAGAAUGUCCACCCCAGGAAGACCCGAAUAGAGCUGGAUCAAGCCCUAAUGGUAAUUGGAGACAUUGAAAUAUCUCAUUAUGCACAAGAUCUGAUACAAAAAGGAUCAAUGUGUGCCACCCUCACCGAUGAAGCGCCACUAGCUAAAAUUCGAAUAAUAGAAAGUGUUCUCCAUUCACUAACAAGCAAUGAACCAAAAAAGAACAAACUAAGAUGGUCCUAUAUUAGAGAGAGGAUUAAACCUAAAAACUAACACAACAAGAAAGCAAACCAGUAUCGUAAGGAAGCAAACUUAUUUAAAAAACCAACCAGUGGAUACAACAAAAAGACUUAGUCUUCACUAGUGAAGAUAAGAC
rnacentral:lncRNA from 1 species